rnacentral:rRNA from 1 species
UACGUAGGGUCCGAGCGUUGUCCGGAAUUACUGGGCGUAAAGAGCUCGUAGGUGGUUUGUCGCGUUGUUCGUGAAAACUCACAGCUCAACUGUGGGCGUGCGGGCGAUACGGGCAGACUUGGGUACUGCAGGGGAGACUGGAAUUCCUGGCGUAGCGGUGGAAUGCGCAGAUAUCAGGAGGAACACCGGUGGCGAAGGCGGGUCUCUGGGCAGUAACUGACGCUGAGGAGCGAAAGCGUGGGGAGCGAACAGG